rnacentral:lncRNA from 1 species
UAAGAAGGUGGCUUAUACUAAGUUGGUUGAGAGUAAUAAUAAUGAGGAGAGGCGGACGAAUAAGGAGGAGUAUAAUAUAGCCAGGAGAGAGGCGAAGUUAGCGGUUACGGCGGCGAAGACGUAGCUUUUGAAAGCUUGUAUGCGACUUUAAAGGAGAAAGGAGAGGAUAAAAAGUUGCGCAGGCUUGCCAAGACCAGGGAGCGG